rnacentral:rRNA from 1 species
GGGGACUAGCGUUGUUCGGAAUUACUGGGCGUAAAGCGCACGUAGGCGGCUUUGUAAGUCAGGGGUGAAAUCCCGGGGCUCAACCCCGGAACUGCCUUUGAUACUGCGAAUCUCGAGUCCGGAAGAGGUGAGUGGAAUUCCUAGUGUAGAGGUGAAAUUCGUAGAUAUUAGGAAGAACACCAGUGGCGAAGGCGGCUCACUGGUCCGGUACUGACGCUGAGGUGCGAAAGCGUGGGGAGCAAACAGG